GAUCAUUCAUCUUCACUUCUCUCCUUUGUAGUUUAUAGGUUCUCUCCUAUUCUUUCCUCUGUUGGAUGAGCAAGCUGCUCUAGAUCUUCUUCCACUUUGUUACUUUGAUCCAUGCCUAGUUUAUUGUUAAAAAUAGCAGAUCUCAUGAUUUCCUUGCUCUGUUUGAUAUCUUCGAACCCAGAUUCGAUCUCAGAUCUAAGAAAUAGCAGAUCGAUUCAGGUUUAUUCUUUGAUCCAUUUUUCAUAUACUUUAUGUUCAACUUGUUAUUGGAUUUUGAAUAAUUUGAGUUGUGGUUCUUGGUUCCAUCAGUUUGUGGUGGAUUGCUUUAGAUGUUAUUGCACGUAAUCAUUGUCCAAAUUUCCAGAAUUUGCAUGUUUAUAUUGUGAGAUUAACUUGGGUUUCCUUGCAAACCACCUCUGUGCUUUGCCAUAAAAAAGCCUUCAAAAAUUCUAUCAGAGGUGCAGAUUGUUGAGGAUAGUCUACUAACAGAAAGGGACUUGAAGAAAUCCCAGCCAGUUAUAUAUAGGUAAUAUAUUGUUAUUCAAAACUAAUUGUCUAUUAAUCAUUUUAAGUGUUCAUAUACAUACAGUGAAUAUCCACCUUGCUUGUCUAAGUUCUUUCAUGUUGUUUAUUUCAUUUUCAGCAAUAAAAGAUGUUGUCAGAGAGCCAUAUGGCAUAUGAGCAGCUAACCAUGGUAUGUGAUGGUACCAGCUGGUUGAUGGUGUUUGAUGAGAUGGAUUGACCAUGUUUUAGGAUGGUGUACAAGAUGAUACUCAUGAUAGUGUAUGAGAGCCAUGACAUAGAUGACAUGCUAGGCCAUAGGUCUAGACACCAAACAUUUUUUUUUAGUAAUAUUACUCUCUCACACAGAGUUCAGUGUCAGUUGAUAUUUACUAUUACCACACAUAUCCGUGUGAAAUAUCCGUGUGAAUUAGAUAGUUGUUCCCACUGAACACCAUUUAAUAAAUGAA
rnacentral:lncRNA from 1 species